rnacentral:rRNA from 1 species
GAUAUUUUAAUGGCCGCGGUAUUUUGACCGUGCAAAGGUAGCAUAAUAAUUAGUCUAUUAAUUGUGGACUUGAAUGAAUGGUUGGACGAAAUAUUUACUGUCUCAAUAUUAAUAUUAGAAUUUAAAAUUUUAGUUAGAAUGCUUAAAUUUAUUUGUUGGACGAGAAGACCCUAUAGAUCUUUAUUAUAAAAAAUUAUAAUUUUUUAGUAUUUAAUUUUUUUAUUAUUUUUUAUUGUUUUGUUGGGGUGACAUGGAGAAUAUAAUAUAACUCUUUAUUUUUUUUUUAUCAUUUAUUUUUGUUUUUUUUGACCUUUUAUUAUUGUUAUAAGAUAUAGAUACCUUAGGGAUAACAGCGUAAUUCUUUUUGAGAGUUCAUAUUGACAAAGGAGAUUGCGACCUCGAUGUUGGAUUAAAAUUAUAGUUAGG